rnacentral:lncRNA from 13 species
GUGGGGAGGCCAACAGCCAACCGGGGAAGCAGAACUGGGGUACAUUACCAUAACAGAACAAAGCAUCCUGAGAGAAGCUUCUUUUCUCACCCUAACCUGAGGUUCUGUGAUACUAGGGACUGUCUUACCAGUGGACUUUCUUUGAGGCUUGUACUGCAGGCUAACUGGCCACAACAGAUGAUACCAACAGGAUUUGGUGUUGUGAACAAUUAAGCUUCUCUUCACUUUCCUCCCUUAGUUUUCUUGCGUUUUCUCUGGCUUUAUGUUUCCUGAUGUGGGUUUUUUGAACUUGAACCUCACAAAGAACAUUUGUUAAAAGAUGAUGAAAGAGAUAUGUUUACACCAAAUGGCUGGUGCGCUUGUUCUUCUCCUUGCAGAAUACUCUGGGGUGCGCCAAAGCUUAUGGAACUUGAAAUCUUUUCCUGGUCUGGGGUUCCCUGCAAGCAAAAACCACAACCCCGUGCUAGAAAUAAACAGAAUUACCACAAGCCCUGGGACUGUAGGCAUGUGGAAAUCCCUGUGAUACUAAUGUCUGCUUGUUUUCUCCUUUUUUGGUUCGUCUUAGGCAAUGUAACUUGUGAGCAAUUCAGUGGCAGCAAGCCCAUCCUUGGCUGGGCACACGCCUCUGUGGAUCAAUGUGCUAUGCUGCUUGACCUCUGGACCUCUGAAACUGCUCUCCUGGAAAAAAAAGUCAGGCUUCCAGAAGCUUUCAUUUCCACUCAGCUGGACAAACGGGGACUCUUAUAG